UACGUAGGGGGCGAGCGUUGUCCGGAAUUAUUGGGCGUAAAGAGCGUGUAGGCGGUCCGGUAAGUCCGCUGUGAAAGUCCAGGGCUCAACCCUGGAAUGCCGGUGGAUACUGCCGGGCUAGAGUCCGGAAGAGGCGAGUGGAAUUCCUGGUGUAGCGGUGAAAUGCGCAGAUAUCAGGAGGAACACCGAUGGCGAAGGCAGCUCGCUGGGACGGUACUGACGCUGAGGAGCGAAAGUGUGGGGAGCGAACAGG
rnacentral:rRNA from 1 species